UGUGUUCCUUUCCCCUGCCACCUGCCUCUUCCCUGCCCCGCUGCAGGCAAGGAGAGGGUGGCGGGAGGGCUGCGAG
rnacentral:miRNA from 1 species